GUCUUAAUUUUUAGGAAGUAAAGCCAGGUAUCACCAAUCAAUGUCAAAUGAGUGAGGUGGUCCACUUUUUUAUGCUGAAUCGCCUUGCCACCGGCUGAUGGACCCGGCUCGCCGCCAUCGUGAGCCUGUUGGAAGUAUCACGGGACUCUGUGACGGAGCCUUGACCUUUUCCAUUUGAAGGUAUGCCCUGUGACGGCGGCGUCAGACUGGGAGUGCGGCCGGAGCAUGUGGCCCGAGGGCCCUGGCCAUUUUAGGAGAUGCCAACUAAGAGACAACAGCCCGGUGACGGCAGGAACUUCCCAGAUGGCGAGGCGGCCUUCUUUCACACCUGACCUGGAUUCGCAUUCCCGGACCUCCGAGAGAUAAGUGGAGGGCUACGCCUCACAGAGGGGAUGAGAGCGAUGUGCCGGACGCAGAUCGAUUCUAUCUGUGGUGGAGCGCUCCAUACUAGGUGAGGGGGUUCGCACAGGAAGGUGAGUUGCCGUUUGUGUUUGCAGGGCAAG